GGGGAUGUGGCGCAGCGGUAGCGCGUCCGCUUUGCAUGAUUUCACAUCAGAAUUGCGGAAGGUCCAGGUUUCGAUCACCUGCUUCUCCA